rnacentral:rRNA from 1 species
CUGGCUCAGGACGAACGCUGGCGGCGUGCUUAACACAUGCAAGUCGAGCGGUAAGGCCUUUCGGGGUACACGAGCGGCGAACGGGUGAGUAACACGUGGGUGAUCUGCCCUGCACUUCGGGAUAAGCCUGGGAAACUGGGUCUAAUACCGGAUAUGACCUCCUAUCGCAUGGUGGGUGGUGGAAAGAUUUAUCGGUGCAGGAUGGGCCCGCGGCCUAUCAGCUUGUUGGUGGGGUAAUGGCCUACCAAGGCGACGACGGGUAGCCGACCUGAGAGGGUGACCGGCCACACUGGGACUGAGACACGGCCCAGACUCCUACGGGAGGCAGCAGUGGGGAAUAUUGCACAAUGGGCGAAAGCCUGAUGCAGCGACGCCGCGUGAGGGAUGACGGCCUUCGGGUUGUAAACCUCUUUCAGCAGGGACGAAGGCGCAAGUGAC